AAAAAAAGGAAAAAAAAAAAACUCUAAACUGAUUUGUUGUUAAAUUUGGCAAAUUUGUUGUUAAUUUUGGCAAAUCUGCUUCUUCCACACAGAAGUUCAUGUUCAGUGAACCUCCUCCCACAACAAUCCUGCCUUCAGUGAUUUCACCCAUAAAUGCUGGAAUAUUCCCAUCAGACGAGCAUCAGGAUGAGCUGAACUCUACAAAGACUGAGUUUAUUAAAGAGUACAGUGAGAACAUGAGUGAUCCAGAACCCUGCAGAAUGAAACACACUGAAGAUACUGAAGAACAAAGAGAGUUGAUUGAAGGAAACGAGAAGAAUGAAGAAUUGAGUGAAGCUGAUGAGAAAAUGCAUGUCAUAACUGCAGAAAAACCUUUGAGUUGCUCUCAAACCAAACAGAAAGAUUUAAUGAAAGGAAGAGCCAAGAAAUCUUUCACCUGUACUAAGUGUGGAAAGAGUUUCACAAAUAAACAAAAUCUUGAGCGUCACAUGAGAGUUCAUACUGGAGAGAAGCCAUUCACAUGUGAUCAGUGUGUGAAGAGUUUCACAUGCAAAUAUGGUCUUGAUGUUCACAUGAGAGUUCAUAGUGGAGAGAAGCCGUACACAUGUGAUCAAUGCGGGAAGAGUUUUACGCAACCAGGACACCUUAAAGAACACAUGAACAUCCACCCUGGAGAAAAACCUUACAAGUGUUCAUACUGCGACAAGAGCUUCAAUCAGUCAGGAAUCCUGAAAAAACAUGAGAGGAUCCACACAGGAGAGAAAUCUUACAAGUGUUCACACUGUGAUAAGAGAUUCAAUCGGUCAGCAAAUCUGAAAACACAUGAGAUAAUCCACACUGAAGAGAAACCACAUACAUGUGAUCAGUGCGGAAUAAGUUUCUCACAAAAAGUACACCUUAAAGGGCAUAUGAAGGUUCAUACUGGAGAAAAACCAUACACUUGUGAUCAAUGUGGAAAGAGUUUUGCACAAUCAGCCAACCUUAAGGAACAUAUGAACAUCCACACUGGAGGGAAGCCUUACACAUGUGAUCAAUGUGGAAAAACAUUUUUGUGGUCUUCAGUCCUGAAGAAGCACCUGAAAUGUCAUACAAAAGAAAAGCCACAUUCAUGUAAUUCAUGUGGAAAGAGUUUUUCACGUCUAGAACAUUUAAAAAUACAUCAGAAAAUACAUACUGGUGUGAGAGACUACAUGUGCUUUGAGUGUGAGAAGACUUUUACUUCAGCCAGCCAUUUAAAACAGCAUGAGAGAAUUCACACUGGAGAAAAACCUUACAAGUGCUCACACUGUGACAAGAGAUUCAGUCUGUCAGGACACCUGAAAACUCAUAAGAGGAUUCACACCGGAGAGGAACCUUAUAAGUGUUCACUUUGUGACAAGAGUUUCAGUCAGUUAGCAACUCUGAGAAAUCAUGAGAGGAUUCACACUAGGGAGAAAUCGCAUCACAGCACUGCAUGAGGGAAGUGUUUCAAACAUUCAUUUUCUCUACACAAGCAAACAAAAUAGUUGAAGCAGAAGGUUGAGUGUGUCAUCGGAUGGAGAGCAGUGUUGCCUCUCGACCAGACAGACAUAGCAGGAGCUGAGCCGAAACAAACCUCCUCCCAAGAAAACAGCAUUGGAAGAUCUAGUGAUGAGAUUAGAACGUUCAUUGCGUCACUGAUAAUUGCUUUCACACUUUGGCUGCUGCUGAACCAGAGAUGGAUGCACUUAGUGCUUUUCAUAUAUCACAACUCUUCAGUGUUUUCAAACACUGUUUAUUUGAGGUUUCAGACAUAGACAUUAAAUGAAGUGCUGUACAAAAAAAAUUAAAGACAUUUACAGCUUUUUAAAUUCAAAUUCCAUACACGGAUACCUUUGGAAGCUGUAUAUUUAUCCUUUCAAUUAUAAUUUGUGUUGUGUUUUAUUCAUAUCAGAUACAAAUAUGUAUGAAACAAUAAAGUUUACUCUAUUCUUUUCCCAGUUCACCGGCCACUUGUGGCUCGUUUCCAAUGAGUGGUACGGUUCGGUUCAGUACAGUACAGUACGGUACGCAUUUUUGUGCCAUUUCCAUUGUCAAAAGUUGUGAAUGGUACCCUAAUUCCGAACUGUACCGUACCACUUUUUUGGGACCCUUUCGUUGGGGUACCAACCACAAUAGUACCAAAGCCACUGGAAGGCACUGCAACCUUUAACCAAAAAAGCGUAACGGCUAAUGCUAAUGCUGGUACUCAGGGAAGGAGACCAGAGGCUGUUUUUUGAAUGAAAGUCAAUGGAUGAGAGGCUUCACUGUGCUGAUUAAACAGCUUUUGUGGGGAAAUAGCUAAUCAUUUAAUUAAUCAACAGCCUGGUUGCCAAUCUUCAUCAUGUUUUACACUAAACAAUACUUUAGUUGGGAACUAUAUGUAGAUUUUAGCUUGAUUAAAAUUUAUUUUUUUUAAGAGAAGACAGACUAGGGAAUGUUGCAACUGCCAUUACACGAUAGGCUGAGAGGUGCUGCACAUGAUUAAGUUAGCCGUUGCACUUUCUCCAAUGGUAAGAGAUACAGACUUUCUCAUCUCCCUAUAAUAGUAUGAUCUGUGAUAGUACCUGUACCAAAAGGGUGGAGCUAUACUCUGCAGAACGUUGAUUGGUUGACAGAGAAUCGUCACUUGCAAAUGCUACAAGGGGAAUGACAAGAGGCGGCACACAAAUGUGGUUCAGGCAAUGCGUGCAUUAUCUUUACUUCAUGUAGGCUAUAUAACAAAACAAAAUAUAAAACACAACCCUGCCUCUUUUCGGUUUCAUUUAAAAAAUAUGAAACCUAUUAAUGUGUGGUUCAUGCAAUAUGUGCAUAUGUACUCUGAUUAAGUUCACUGUAUAUGUAGCCUACAUGCACCUAUAAUAAAAUAAGACAAAACAACCCUCUCUUUUUUGUUAAAAGUCAGUUUUAAUUAUCAAUAAUAACCAUUAUAAAAGUAUAAGUUUAAAGUAUGAAAAGCUAUACAAUAAGAAAUAAAGACAAGCAAACAAUUCAGUAGUGAUGGCGAAAUGAAGCUUUGUGAAGCACCGAUGCUUUCCUCUCAAGUGUAUCGUAAAAAGGUUCAUUACUCAAAACUUUUCAGCAUGGUGCACACUAACGACAUCUUGUGGUCAAAAGGUGGAAAAAACUGCCUUUGCGUCCCAGACGCCGCAGCUAUUAUUGGAGUUUCAUGUAAUAAAUCAGUUUGUGCUAUGAAAAGCGUAUAAAACAAUGUAAAUUAUUAUUUUACAUUAAAAAAAGUCUUUCACGUGUCAUUUCACUUACACAAUUUGAAUAAAUAAGUCUGAAUAAAAUUUGGGGGAGAAAUAGGCAAGCUUUGGCAUAUAUUAUCAAAAUAAAUGAUUGUCAUAGAAUGAAUUAUGAACUGGGAAUAAAUACAAACUGAACACAUGUAAAUAUUUAUUCGUAUUAUGGCAUAUUGUUUUGCUAAAAAGCAAAUUACACCACAUCUGCGCAAGGGUUCACGUUAUGUGAAUCAGAUUACGAAGCAGUCACGUGGUUGUGUGCGAAAACGAAGCUUCGGGCGUCACCGAUCACAUGGUUAUGGCAAAAUGAAUCAACUUCACUUUACCCUCAGCCAAAACAAUUUGCUCGGAAACAAAUGAAUUCAUAAAAAAAAUUCAUAUAAAAAUAAAUUCAUGAGAUCAAAAAUUGUCUGUUAUACACAAGAUGAAUAUUUUUUGUGCGCCAA